rnacentral:lncRNA from 1 species
CAGAAGUGAGGCGCCCAGAGAAGUGUUCACUUGUGGCUCGAAGUCCAGGUGUGAUACUGCAUGAAAACCCCCCGAUUUGGCCAUCCAGAGCAUGGUAAUCAAGAAACGCCUAGAUGUUUCCAAAAAUGGAUUGGGUGUCCCUCCAAGUGUUCAUGAAAAGGUUAAAUUUCCUCUUGGUGGAGAGUUACAGAGGAGAUUAGCAGAUCAGGCUGAAUUAGGGCCUCACUGUGUUACCCAGGCUGGAGUGCAGUGGUGCAGUCACAGCUCACUGCAGCCUCGACUUCCCAGGCUUAAGCACAUCUCCCACCUCAGUUUCCCAAGUAGCUGGGACCACAGGGACAUGGAUGAAGCUGGAAACCAUCAUCCUCAGCAAACUAACACAGGAACAGAAAACCAAACACCGCAUGUUCUCACUCAUAAGUGGGAGUUGAACAAUGAAAACACAUGGACACAGGGAGGGGAACAUCACACACCGGGGCCUGUCAGGGAGUGGGGGGCUAGGGGAGGGAG